GAUGAACGCUGGCGGCGUGCCUAAUACAUGCAAGUCGAGCGAACAGACGAGGAGCUUGCUCCUCUGACGUUAGCGGCGGACGGGUGAGUAAAACGUGGAUAACCUACCUAUAAGACUGGGAUAACUUCGGGAAACCGGAGCUAAUACCGGAUAAUAUAUUGAACCGCAUGGUUCAAUAGUGAAAGACGGUUUUGCUGUCACUUAUAGAUGGAUCCGCGCCGCAUUAGCUAGUUGGUAAGGUAACGGCUUACCAAGGCAACGAUGCGUAGCCGACCUGAGAGGGUGAUCGGCCACACUGGAACUGAGACACGGUCCAGACUCCUACGGGAGGCAGCAGUAGGGAAUCUUCCGCAAUGGGCGAAAGCCUGACGGAGCAACGCCGCGUGAGUGAUGAAGGUCUUCGGAUCGUAAAGCUCUGUUAUUGGGGAAGAACAAAUGUGUAAGUAACUAUGCACGUCUUGACGGUACCUAAACAGAAAGCCACGGCUAACUACGUG
rnacentral:rRNA from 1 species